CGGGUGAGUAACGCGUGGGGAACCUGCCUCAUACAGGGGAAUAGCAGAUGGAAACGUCUGCUAAUGCCGCAUAAGCGCACACUGUGGCAUCACAGAGUGUGAAAAACUCCGGUGGUAUGAGAUGGCCCCGCGUCUGAUUAGGCAGUUGGCGGGGUAACGGCCCACCAAACCGACGAUCAGUAGCCGACCUGAGAGGGUGACCGGCCACAUUGGGACUGAGACACGGCCCAAACUCCUACGGGAGGCAGCAG
rnacentral:rRNA from 1 species